UUAACUCAAAUUUGUAUGGAUUUGGAACGUUUGCCUACGUUUGCCGCUAGGGGCGCUGUUCCAACUGCAUACUGAGUUAACUUU
rfam:Bombyx mori DNA, contig: Bm_scaf4_contig4072, strain: p50T/Dazao, build 2, whole genome shotgun sequence.